UAUCGUUUUCCUAUCUCUUUCACAUAACCAUUUCCUUCUUCCUUCCUAACCCUAACACCCCUUCCAUCCGCGGAAGUGCAAUACCCUCAACCAAAUCCCCAACACAAAUACAACCAACAAAAACCCCAAAUCAACAAUUAGAACAAAAGCAAGCUAAGUUUACCCCUUUACAUUUCUGUAUUCCAAUUGUUGAGCGUUUGUUCGAUUCAGUGCUAAUCUCCCCUAUUUCUUCUUGUCCACAGGUAAUGGUGGUCUUGGAAGGUGAGGACAAAAGACUAGAACGGCGGCGGAGCUUGGAGAUGGUCCGCAACAGUUAG